rnacentral:snRNA from 1 species
AGCUUUGCGCAGUGGCAGUAUCAUAGCCAAUGAGGUUUAUCCGAGGCAUGAUUUUUGCUAAUUGAAACAACAGAAAUGUGAAAAACCCAAAUUAUUUCUCCCAGCAUAUUCUG